UCCUUCUUUUGAAAAAAAUAAUUUGUCAGCAACUUUUCCUUUGGCUUUGGAGUUGCUUUGGUUUGGAGUUGAGUUACUAGGGGAUCUCUGGAGCUCUACAUCAACUUUCAAAUUCCUUCACGCAAGUCCUGGGAGCAUCCCCAGUCGAUGAGCAAUCUUGCAUCAACCAAAAAUAUUUGUUUUAGUUUUUCUCUUCAGUUUUGUGUUGCAGCUUUUAUAUUUCUUUCGGCAUUCUCCAGAAGUUAUUCAUUUUCCAUUGCGGAUAAGAUCUUUGGUUUCCAGACUUGUUCUCGUCCCUUAUUCUAGACUUUUAGUUCAUUUGGAUAUUUUUCCAAUAAGUUUUCGCUUCCAGAUUGUCUAUUUCUUGGUUCCCGGAGAAGUUUUGAGCUUAAUGGGUAGUUGGAGAUUUAUUCUCUUGUGGAUCUAAUUGGCACCACACUUGAUGUUCUCAGGCCCUUGGAUGACCUUCCUUUGUGGUCCACACUUCAUUUAUGUCCUUGGAAGAGAAGAUCUUCAUGCUUUGGGUCUGAACUAUUUUACACGUUUCAUUUUCUUGUCUUGGAGAAUGUAAUCUUUCGUGGCCGACCUGGAUGUGUUUCCAAUGCUAUAAAUAUUGUUGUAUUUGAUCCUUUGGGAUAGAGUGAAGAUAUAGGAUGAUCUUGAUUCAUGAUCUGUAAUUAUAAUGCCUCUUGGAGGUCCAGAUAGAUUGUAUUCUGUAACAAGGCAUGUAAGCCUACUUGUUGCCCGCAUGUUGCCGACUAAUUUGUGAUGAAUCUAUGAUAUUGUGGAUGUCUAA